ensembl:miRNA
ACCCUAUCAAUAUUGCCUCUGCUUUUCUGACUGAUAACGGAGUAGUGCAAUAUUGCUUAUAGGGUCU